rnacentral:lncRNA from 1 species
GUGCCCCCAACUCCGGUUUAGACUUCUCUUGCAGGUCCCGAUGGCGGCCGCGGUCAUCUCAACUCCAGCUUCUCCGACGUCGGUAAAAUUCUGCGCCAACAAAUUGGUGCUAGAAGAAGGGCGUGUCUUCGCAGUACCCUUAUUCUUAAAGGAGUGCUCAAUGGAACUGUCUCUGGUCAUCCUCUCUGACAUCUUCUUCUCCUUCUCCUGUC